UAGAUUAUGGGUAGUUUGGAGUUGCUAGGAGCUUCCCGAGCAUUUGGUCUUUGUUUGGCGAAUUUUUGUAAUGCAUUGUAUGGUGGUGUCUAGGAGACCUAGUGCUUAAUAUCCACACAGCCAAGACAUUGAUACUUUGGUUGCAGGUUUUGCGGAUAUAGAUAUUGACUCGUCCACCUAGCGUGUGAGAUACUAUGAUUGGAGCAUAUCGCGAUAGUCAUAAGUCACGGACUCAUGGGUAGUCCGCAUUUUGGGUAUUUUAUCCAUGGCUCGUGUCCUAUAUGGCACAUGUAUUUGUUGAGCCUAUAUUUUAGAAUGUAAUUAGUGUAAUAUGUUAUAUAAGCCUUAAAUAGUUAGACUUGUAAAUGGCUCUUGUUGUAAUUAACUAUUGUAUACUAGAUGUAUUUCCGCUUAUGAUAUGUGUUCCGCUGCACAUUGAUUACUA